UCCAAAGUAAGUUCGAAGUUUUUUAAAUUGUAAAACUAUUUAUGACGAAAUUACCUAAUAGUCAAUUUCUCGUAGGAUAAACUGGAUUUCCUUCAUCCAAUAGUGCACGAAAUGCGUUUCACAAAAUUUCAACUCGUAGUGAAUGAGUCGUAUGGAACGGUAUUUGAGGCUACAUUUAAGCAGUAUUAUGACAAACAAAUAGUUGAUGUACACAUGUUCUUCAGAAAACAAGCCUUACUAUAUUCUAUGACUGUUGAAUUCAACAAAUGCAAAGAACAUUAUAUCGACUGCGUUAACGUUAGAACUUUUCAAGUUAAACAUAUGUGUAAUAACAUGAGAGCGUUAGCGUACUUUUUAAAAGUAGCUUAUAAAUCCCAAGAAUUUUCAUGUGAACUAAAAGGGGAUUACAUUUAUACGAAUGCGACAUUUGACAUGGAAAAUUUAAUUACAAUCUUAACAUCGCCAAUGUCUAAUUGGUGGGAUUAUUGUUAUAAAUUUAGAUUUGGAUUUUUUAACAUUGAUAACGAGAUGCUUUUAGAAAUGA